CAGUAGCCGCGGGAAUACGAAGGGGGCUAGCGUUGAUCGGAAUGACUGGGCGUAAAGGGCGCGUAGGCGGCGGCCAAAGUCGGGCGUGAAAUUCCCGGGCUCAACCUGGGGGCUGCGCUUGAUACUUGGUUGCUUGAGUGGGGAAGAGGGUCGUGGAAUUCCCAGUGUAGAGGUGAAAUUCGUAGAUAUUGGGAAGAACACCAGUGGCGAAGGCGACUGACUGGACAAGUAUUGACGCUGAGGUGCGAAAGCGUGGGGAGCAAACAGGAUUAGAUACCCCCGUAGUCCCUGUCUCUUAUAC
rnacentral:rRNA from 1 species